GCCGAAGUGGCGGAACUGGCAGACGCGCAUGGUUCAGGUCCAUGUGCCCGCAAGGGCGUGGGGGUUCGAGUCCCUUCUUCGGCACCA
rnacentral:tRNA from 1 species